UCCCUUUAAAUAAACAGGUUUGUGCAGCCACAAACAUCACCAUUCAGCCACACACUCUCCCAAAUUCGUCAAAACCCAUCCACAACCUCAGAAACCAUUCCUCCUCCAUCUCUGCCGAUUUCCACCACCAUUCUUCAUAUCCACACCUUCCACACAACACCCACACACCAUCCCCAAGCCUUGCCGUGCCUCUAUACCAUCCAUAAUCCAUUCUACAUCACAAAAACAGCCCAGAAACCACACCAUCCCAAUCUGCCGCAAGGGGAAGAGAAGGAGACAGUUCACAAAGUUGUUUGGCUCUUCAAUCUGAGUUGUUGAACAAUUUUAGGUGUAUUCUAUCUUAUAUUUCAAUGUCUACUUCUUGUAAUCUUUGUUUUUCAUUGAGUAUGAUUGCCUAAAUUCGUUUUGGCUAAGGGUGUAUUCGAAACCAUGUUUAUUUAUGUGAAAUAAGUUGAUUACUUCCAGUUAUCGUUGCAUA
rnacentral:lncRNA from 1 species